rnacentral:lncRNA from 1 species
CACGGAGCCCCAGAGGCAUCACAAGGUGAAGGGUCCUGGUGCAAGCUCAGCACAGAGGGAUGCCUGCCACCACGGGGCCUGCGGUCCUUGGAACAGGUGGCGCCUGUGCUGUGCCCUCCGAGAACAGCUUUGGAAUGACGUCACUAUAUCCAUGCCUGAGAGGCGGAGAAGCAGCAACUGAGGCAGAAGACACCACGCAAGGAGGCUCCAGAUCAACCACUCUCUCUCCAUGUCACUCUGGGCCCCGCAAGGCCCUGCCCCUCCACCCUGGCCGCAGUGGAGCCUGGUCCUGGGGAGUCCCGAGGGUCCCACACACCUGCACAGGCCCCCCACUCCCCAAGGGGCUCAUGCACAGCUCUGUGCUGGGCCAGCUGUGCUGCCAGCCUGGGAUUCACUCCGAAGCAGCCCCCGUCCCGUAGGAGCCUCAGUGCAGCCUCCUGGCUGUCCUGUUCUGAUGCUGCCCUUGUCACAGCGGGUGGCACAGAAGCUGUCCGGCCGAGGGUCGCCAGCCAGCGAGGGGCAGCUCUAAGACCGAAGCCAGGCGGAGUGGGAGCCAGACACAAGCCUGUGUCUAUAAAUAUAUGGCCUCCCAAACUAACAUUAUCAAGAGUAAUUCUUCUAGUACCAUGAAAAGAGCAAGCACAGGGUUGAAAAUACCCUUAGCCAAGUGAGUAACUUGUCUCUAAUGCGGGAUGCGUGGACAUGAGGCCUGAAGACACAGCCGCC